UCCUCAACUUGACCUCCCUGCCCCCGCCCCCGCUUCAAGUUGUGGGCUAGGCCUACAGGGCACAGGGGUGUUCACACAGGAGGUGACACCCCUUUUCUCCUGAGCUGUAAGACCAUGUGCCUUUGAAGCUCCCUUUACCCCGGGGGCUCCUGUGCCCCCGGGUCUGGGCUGACACAGACAUGAGAAGCGCCACACCAGGCACACACAGACCUAAAGUCACUGCAGAACCACCCAAACAGGCCAGGGCACAUACAAGGCCCUUUUGGAAUCUGAGCAAGGUGAGUGGGAGAGGGAUGGGUGAGGGCUUGCCUGAGGUCUAACCCCAUGUGGGGGGGAGAGGGGGCGGGACUACUUCACUGGACUCUGACAGAAGGGCCAGCCCCUUCUGUUUCAGCCCCCAAGUCACCUGGUCAGGCCCAGGCCAGACAUCUGCUUGCUCCGAGCGUGUCCCAACCAGUGUUUCCACUUGGAAAUCCUUGGGCUUUAUCUCCUCCCCUACAAAAGGUUCCCCAAGAGAGAAAGGGGAAAGGAAGGAGAGGCCAAGUGCUCAGACCUGCAGUGGGGACAGUGGCUGUCCUCCAGGUAUGUAUGUGCAGGACAGCCUCGCCAUCAGCCUGGAAGAGUCUGGUGCCUGCUGUAGACUGGAGCAGAGGAACCAAAGUCAGACCACCCUGGAGAGGAGUGUGGCUUGGGGAGCCCUUCUCCAUCCUGCCCCAGUGCUAGGAGGUUGGAUUCAUACCAUCCUAGAAAACUGGCACAGUGAGUUCCUGGCUACUCUUCUUACUCCAGCCAGAACGCAGCCUCAUCGGCAUCCAUCAGUUACCAUAACCUUGAGGAACAGACUGGAAAUUUCCCCAGAAUAACACCAUAGAGAAAACAAAGUCAAAGUCGCAUUCAUUCUUGCUUUUCUCCACAGAAACUUAAUUAUAUAUCCCUGUCACUUUUUCUUCAUGAUUUUUCAUUUUUGUGCUUUUAGAAAGGCACUCCCCCUUGAAUUUUUAUGAAUAAUUUCCUUUAGUUUCUUUUUCUCACUUUUUUUUUCUUUAGCCACACCCACAGCAUGGAAAAGUUCCUUGGCUAGGAAUCAAACCUGUGCCACAGCAGCAACGGGAGCCACAGCAGUGAAAUGCUGGAUCCUGAACCUGCUUCACCACCAGGAAAUGCCAUCCUUUUCUCACCUUACAUUUACACUGCCUCUGGGCACACAGAAAACUAUACUUCCUUGUCCCAAAGCACCCUCAGCCCCUUGCCAUUAGGUAAGGCUACUGUGACUAGUUUUGGCCAAUCAGUUGUGCACAGCAGUGAUUUAUGUUACUUCUAGACUGCAGUAAGAAGAGUGAGAGAUCACGCCACAACACUCUCCCAUUGCCACAGUGACUAGCAAUGUUCCAGGUUGUGGAACCCUUUGGGGUCCUAGACAAACUAUAGGAAGCAGAGGCCUCUCACCCCUGACCUUCACCAACAUGUGUUGGGCAUUUACUGUGUGCUAGAAAUAAACCUUUACAGUGGUAAACCACUGAAGUUUGAGAGUUGUUACCCCAGCAAAAGCUUAGCCUAACCUGACACACACAGUGAUGGCUCUCAAAGGUUUAGUGUGCAAUAGUCACCUGUGAAACGUUAAAGUACGCAUUGUGUGACAAAGAUACAUUGGGGGACAGACUUAUGGAUAAGUGAUGAUAGGAGAGAAGUACUCAAUUAUCUUAGCUGAUUUGAUAAAUCCUUUUGAAUUUUAUACUUUAAGAAAAAUUUAACCUUAUAACUGUUACCCAGGUAAUAUUCUAGUUGGAAAAACAGAGGGCACAAACGAAAAGGAAAAAUAAAAAUCCAGAACUGUGCCACACAUAUUGUUCACCGUCUAGUGUGUUAUGUCAGGAAUUGUGAAAAAAAAGACACACAUACGUUAUCAUGUCAGGAAUUAUGGAAAAAAGACACACACGGCAGGGAAGAGUGUGGGGAACGCAGCAGUCCUGGAAAGCAUUGGCUUCCAUGUCCGCGCGCCCUGCAGGAAUCCGGAGUACUUACCUCUCUUUCUCCAUCUUUCCCUCGACACGCCCACAUCCUCCGCAAUAGGAAGCUGGCACCCACACUGGGUUCCCGCCCACCUCCCCAGCAUUCCCCAUUGCCCACCAUUUUCUGAAGCAAAAUGGAUAGAGGGCGUGGCGGUGGGGGGAGGUGAAAACUGUAGUCCCGGAUCUCUCCCGGGGUCCACUUUCCUCACGCCCCCACCUUUCCCUUUCCAGUGCUUUGCAGGUGGCUCCCACCUGCACAUCCAUUUGCAGGGAACCCGGGCGUUUCCCUCCUGCUGCUCUUUUCCUGGCCAGAGGCCAGCCUGCUUUCAAGGCAGUAGGGAGCGGGUACCCAAACCUGACCACCGCCCCCUUCCUAGACCCCUCCCCCAAGCCCACCAUUUUUUUUCCCCCAAAAUGGACCGGUGCCGGGGCAGGCAAUAAUACAGUUCUGGCCCCGCAUUGGUGUUCGCCCUGGCCUUUGGAUAGCUUCUGCUCUUGCAGACCUGCUCAGAUCCCGGGCAGGUGGUAGUUUUCUCCUCUGGUCUAGUGUCCACAAGCGCGCCCGCCUGCCUCCAAGGUAAGAAGGAGAUGGUGCUCAGGCGGGAAAGAGGACUCUGACUAUACAGUGACUGAGGCUCACUUCAGCCCUUUGUCCAGCGAGGCCCAUGUUAACAGUGAGUUCAGGUCCCCAAUUAACUCUCCCUACAGCAUCGCAGCUGGAGCCGGGUUGUCCCUCACUGCCCCGCCCCCACUCGGCCCUUAGUCUAUUCAGUCUUUGCCAGAAACUUGAAAAGUGUAUCAUCUCCUUAGAAUGUCUAUAUCCCUUUCUCAGAUUAUUAGAAAGGAUCAGCCCCUGGGGGUUCGUCGACCGGGUCUCCUUUUCUACCCCCACCGCCCCCCCGCCGCUCCCUAGAGUCUCCACCUCCCCUCUCCCCAAACCCGAAGGUCUGCGGUUUCCCUUGCAGUCGUGUCCAGGCAUAGAAAGUAAGUCCAGGAAAUGAGGAUCAGAAUGAGAGAUUUUUACUAGUUCUUUUAAAAUAUUUCUCAGUUCUCUUCCUUGUAAUUAUUAUUAUUAUUAUCGUUAUUACUGCGAGCCUACAUCCUGUUUGCCAUUAGAAAAUAGCAGAGAGCUAUCUAUUGUCAUUUGGGAAGCAGGAGGUAGAUUCAAGUGUGUUUGGGAAUAAAGGAACAACCCAGCCAGCCACCUGUUUUCCCUGCUCAGGGAUAAUACAAAUAUAGAUCCUUUAGGCAGCCUCGUCUUUGGAAGUUUGAAAUGUAGAGGCUCCCCUGUUGAAGGGGCCCCUAUGUGUGUGUGUGUGUCUCCGGUGGAGGUGGGGGGGAAUGUCCGUGAAGUCAGCCUCUGAAGUCACAUAAUCUCACAGUACCAAGAACCCCUUGGAAUUUAAGAUUUUUAGAACCUAGUCACAUGUUUUGGUCUUCAAGAUUAUUAUUGUCUCCAUGAUUGCUCUAUUUUGCAAUUCUCUACCACAUCCACACCCCUAUUAGCCCUUUCCAGUUGCAACCAAAAUUUUGUACUACUUCUUACCAUUUUAGGGACAGAUCUAGGUUUGUGGGGCCUGAAAUUUACAAUUUGGGGGGCCCUCUUUAAGAAAAAGAUAUUAAAAUUGUAUAGGCAAUGCAGGCAAUUAGGUGCCAAUGUUAAUAUUUAUAAUGAGAAAAUAAAUCAUGGAGUUCCUGUCGUGGUGCAGAGGAAACGAAUCCGACUAGGAACAGUGAGGUUGGGGGUUAGAUCCUUGACCUCACUCAGUGGGUUAAGGAUCUGGCUUUGUCGUAAGCUGUGGUGUAGGUCGCAGACGAGGCUCAGAUGUGGCAUUGCUGUGGCUGCAGCGUAGGCCGGCAGCUGUAGCUCCCAUUGGACCCCUAGCCUGAGAACCUUCAUAUGGCACAC
rnacentral:lncRNA from 1 species